GUGAACGCUGGCGGUAGGCCUAACACAUGCAAGUCGAACGGCAGCACAGUAAGAGCUUGCUCUUACGGGUGGCGAGUGGCGGACGGGUGAGGAAUACAUCGGAAUCUACUUUUUCGUGGGGGAUAACGUAGGGAAACUUACGCUAAUACCGCAUACGACCUACGGGUGAAAGCAGGGGAUCUUCGGACCUUGCGCGAUUGAAUGAGCCGAUGUCGGAUUAGCUAGUUGGCGGGGUAAAGGCCCACCAAGGCGACAAUCCGUAGCUGGUCUGAGAGGAUGAUCAGCCACACUGGAACUGAGACACGGUCCAGACUCCUACGGGAGGCAGCAGUGGGGAAUAUUGGACAAUGGGCGCAAGCCUGAUCCAGCCAUACCGCGUGGGUGAAGAAGGCCUUCGGGUUGUAAAGCCCUUUUGUUGGGAAAGAAAAGCAGCAGGUUAAUACCCCGCUGUUCUGACGGUACCCAAAGAAUAAGCACCGGCUAACUUCGUG
rnacentral:rRNA from 1 species